CCUACGGGGAGCAGCAGUGAGGAAUAUUGGUCAAUGGACGCAAGUCUGAACCAGCCAUGCCGCGUGCAGGAAGACGGCUCUAUGAGUUGUAAACUGCUUUUGUACGAGGGUAAACGCAGAUACGCGUAUCUGUCUGAAAGUAUCGUACGAAUAAGGAUCGGCUAACUCCGUGCCAGCAGCCGCGGUAAUACGGAGGAUUCAAGCGUUAUCCGGAUUUAUUGGGUUUAAAGGGUGCGUAGGCGGUCGGAUAAGUUAGAGGUGAAAUCCCGAGGCUCAACUUCGGAAUUGCCUCUGAUACUGUUCGUCUAGAGAGUAGUUGCGGUAGGCGGAAUGUAUGGUGUAGCGGUGAAAUGCUUAGAGAUCAUACAGAACACCGAUUGCGAAGGCAGCUUACCAAGCUACUUCUGACGUUGAGGCACGAAAGCGUGGGGAGCAAACAGGAUUAGAUACCCGAGUAGUC
rnacentral:rRNA from 1 species